GCGCACCUAAAAUUACCAUAGUGUGUCAGAUGCCAUUUGUGUAAUUCCCAUGUAAUAAAUUAGCAGCUUGAGUAUGAUAAGUAACCAAUUCUUUUAAAACGGCUUCCGUGAACUAAGUUCCGUACCAACGCAAAAGCUGUAUAUACUCGUGGCAAUGAAGUUUCUUAUAAUAAUGCUACUUCUCGUUUUUGCGCAACAACGUUGCAGUUCGAAAAUCAUCAGCGAUUGGGAAAUCGGUCUGGAGAAGUACUCGAUGAAAUGCGCCAAUGAGACAAAUCUGGAUCCUACGAUUUCCAAACGAAUAUUAAGGGAAUUCUAUAUGCCGGACGAACGAAAUUUUCAGUGUUUUUUAAAAUGCAUAAUGGAAAAUUCGGGCGUGUUGAAAUCAAGUCACGAGGUGGACAUCCAAGAGCUUAUUGAGGUAGUACACAUUACUCCUGAAAUUGCACGGAUGUGCGUAGCAGAAAGCGACGUUGAAAAAAAUGAGUGCAGAAAAAUGUACCUGAUUGCCUUAUGCAGUAUGAGAAGGCUUCUGUGAAUGAUUAACUGUGACAAUUGACUUUAUUGUAUAUCAAUAUGUUAAAGUACGGUCUUAUGACAUGUUCUUACACGGCAAAUACCGUGUACAUUUAGUUACAGUAGUAAACCGGGUAAAGGAAUCAGAUGCAUUGGAGAAGGGUGCCCAAAGUAAAAAUCAACAAAAUGGGGAUGCCGGAAGCUGUAGGUAAAGGUUAUAACUCCUAGACAAUUAAGGGACUGUUCAGACAAUCAGAAAUUUCCAUUUAGUUCCGGAGAUAUUAGAAGAAGUUGUAAAUCGGCAUAUGCAAUAGUGCAUUUUUGGUGAUACAUAUGGAAUAUAGAAAGAAAACCGCCCGCGCAACUUCUUAAAAAAAUAACUUUAUCCUUUUCAGAGCGCUUUCCCUUAUACUGAAUAUAAUUACUGUUCAUUCUUUGAAGCCAUUUGUCAAUACACUAAGAAAACUUAGUUUAAGUUCAUUGUUCUUCACCGGUUCAUGAUUUACUUGCAGAUGCGAGCGGUUACAGUCGAUUGGGAAAAUUAUCACAUUCCACAAUUUGACUUGUGCAUAAGAUACCGGCGUGGAUCCUUUGAUUCGGAGGGUGGUGUUCAGGCAACAAAUUUUCCAGACCAAAAAGUUUUCACUGCUAUACAAUUUUUCCCGAAAUCGUCUUUUGUAAUAUAAAAUUCAAUUUUCAUGUAGUAAUUAACUUAAUAUCAAUGUGGCAGGGGUCAUUAGACAUUACCAAUGUGAUGCGAUUUGAUACAUC